UACUUUAGUCAAAAUAAGACCAGUUACUUAUGGGUAACGUUGGCUAAAUUUAGAGAGAUAUAACCAGUAGCUUAUUAUGGCUAUUGUUAGCUAAAUUUAGAGUAAUAUGACUUGUUUAUUCUGGCAAAUUAUCUGUUAGCUAAUGUAAUUGAUUUGAAAGAUUGUCAAUACUUCUGGUAUGUGAGAAACUCUGUUAUCUGCAGUCUGUGACAACAACCACAGAUGAACAGGCUAAUGUAUUAUAGUCAAAGUUUAAACCAGCCCAAUAUUUGUUAUGAGCACGGGAUCUUAAUUCGCUCUCUGAUUGGUCCGUUUACGUCGCGCGUCACUCACGCAGAAGGCGUUCGAUGAGUUUAACGAGCGCUGUUCGUGACGCGUGACGGGCCGUUAGGACGUGCGCUGCGUCGGCUAAAAUGGGGGUCAAAGUGCAAAGCGCCAUACGUCAGAGAAUAACAACACAUCCGCACGUGGCCCAGUGUGUUCUGUCUGACUCUAAACAAGCCAACGCUCUGUGUGAGUUGUCAAGCGUCCCGCGGUUUGACCGGGAAAUGAAAACGUUAACGAGGAUGACGUUGCUGGCAGCUGAGCUUAAUGAGGUAAAUGAAGACAAGCGUAUUCCAUUUGUUGGAGAUGUUGACUUUUGGACAUUUCAUGUGGGCUGCAAUGGAUUUCAUGUCAUUUCUGCGGGAAUGGACUCGGACUGACGGCUUCAUGAUGAAAACAUAGGAUGCUGAUUGGCUGAGUGCAAGAUCUCACAACCCAAUGAGAAAUCAAGCAAGUGUGCGUCGAGAUCCGGGCCCUUAAUCUGUGGUGAUGAUGACCCAGUUUCCCUCCCCCCUUGCCUACCACCCCGCCCUCAUCCAUCGGUCGCCAAGGAGACGCUUCCCUCCCUCAUCCCUGACCGGAACCGUUGGAUGCUGGCAAAGUACACGCCGGCAGCAAUGUGGGAUAAGAGCCGCUUCCAUCUACAGUAUUCGAGCGCGCCAUGAGUCACUGUGUGGAGGAACUGCAAGGCAGGGUGGCCUCAUCAUCCUCAUCAUCAUCAUCAUCAUCACUCCAGGGGUGGCAGAGCGGCAGGGGGAAGUGUGGGAGAAUGGCAGUCCUCUGCCGUCUGUGGGUCAUUUAUUUAUAUUUAUUCUCUAUUUUUUGUGCGUGUGGGCUCGUCCGAUCGGAUGUGUGACUGUUCAUAUUUGAGAUGACGCCCGCCUCGGAGCUUUGUGCAUUGCUGUGUCUCCAUGGCAACAGGUCCUCUCGACGACGACGGACUCCGACACAUCAGAGUAGCCGCAAGGGCUGAGCUCAAAAUGCUCACAUGCAGGACGAAGAAAAGACAAGCAGACGGCAGCCUGAAUAUGAAAGCAAAUUCGAGGGUUGGGAGGCGCGUACGUUGAGGUGUUUGAAGACAAAAUGUUGACUGUGGAUCUCUGGUUGUAGGUUUCUGUGAUGUGGUCUGGUGCCAAAUCCAUUGCACCCUCAAAGUGAUCAAUUAUGUCAACCAUAAAAUCAGUUCUGAGAGUAACAGGAAAAUGAAAAACAGAUGCUGGAGAACAAAGCAAACCUGAACAACCUGGCCAGAAGGAACAGACUGAUGAAUCA